rnacentral:misc_RNA from 1 species
GAAGCGAAUGAUCUUAUCCAUGAUGGGAAUCCCAAAAGCUAGUGUCUUCCCAGUUCCAGUUCUAGCUCGACCUAUCAUGUCAGAUCCUUGCAUUGCUGGUUCCAGAACAGCUCUCUGAAUAGGAAAGAGCUUAGUAAUUCCCUUUUUCUCCAAAGCAGAAACGAUCUCCUGAGAUAUACCAAGUUUUGAUAUCUCAAGUCCUUCAUCAUCCUCAGGUAAAUUCGCCACUGCAUAUCCAGCUCGUAAAUACCGACCUGAAUGAAAUCCUCUUACAGAAACCCCAAAUUUCCUAUCAACCCAGUUUCCAUUUGUCGAAGUAUUAGCCGUACUAACAGUGGUAAAGCUGUUGAAUUGAGUAUUCCCCGAAAUGAACUUGUCUUCGCCGGACGUCGACGGCGAGAAGAAUAGAUGAGUAAGGGCAUUAAGAGCAACCCUUUUCGAGGCAUGUAAAGAAGAAGACUUCUUCAAUAGAACAAGACUAUUCAUUCUUCAAAUAUGCCAACAGAGAAGAGAUCAACAAAAUGGUAUAGAAGGGUUUAUGAAAAAGACGAAAGAAGCAACUGACUUAACCCAGCAAAAUAUGGAAGGCGGUUGAGGGGUCCGAUACUUUGGCUCUGGAAAGCAGAGGCUGUAGAGAUAUUUUGGAGCAAAAGGGGUUUUGGGAUCAAAAGGGGGUUUUGG